UGCGCAGGCGGCCCUGUAAGACCGGUGUGAAAUCCCCGGGCUCAACCUGGGAAUUGCGCUGGUGACUGCAGGGCUAGAGUACGGUAGAGGGGGGUGGAAUUCCUGGUGUAGCAGUGAAAUGCGUAGAGAUCAGGAGGAACACCGAUGGCGAAGGCAGCCCCCUGGGCCUGUACUGACGCUCAUGCACGAAAGCGUGGGAGCAAACAG
rnacentral:rRNA from 1 species